rnacentral:rRNA from 1 species
CAGCCGCCACGGGAAUACGUAGGUGGCAAGCGUUGUCCGGAAUUAUUGGGCGUAAAGGGCUCGCAGGUGGUUUCUUAAGUCUGAUGUGAAAGCCCCCGGCUCAACCGGGGAGGGUCAUUGGAAACUGGGAAACUUGAGUGCAGAAGAGGAGAGUGGAAUUCCACGUGUAGCGGUGAAAUGCGUAGAGAUGUGGAGGAACACCAGUGGCGAAGGCGACUCUCUGGUCUGUAACUGACGCUGAGGAGCGAAAGCGUGGGGAGCGAACAGGAUUAGAUACCCCCGUAGUCCCUGUCUCUUAUAC